GAAGAAUUUUACAGAAUCGAGUCCCCGCUGCUCACAAUCAUCUACCACAUAGCGAUGUCGAAAACGAAACCAAGGAAAUGACAAGAAACCAGUUGCAUUGCUUCCGAUCUGAGGUGAAAACUACUCAUAAUUUACAAGUCACCCUCAUCCUUGGUUGUCAUCUCAUAUAUCACCGUCCACCGGACAGUUCGAUGGCAUCGAGGUUAUACACAGAAUC
rnacentral:misc_RNA from 1 species